AGCAGCCGCGGUAAUUCCAGCUCCAAUAGCGUAUAUUAAAGUUGUUGCAGUUAAAAAGCUCGUAGUUGAAUUUCGGGAUCAAUACGUCGGUCGUGCUUCGGUACGUACUGGCGUCAUUGAUUUCUCCCUUCUGACGAACCAUGAUGUCAUUAACUUGGUGUCUUGGGAAAUCAGGACUGUUACUUUGAAAAAAUUAGGGUGUUUAAAGCAGGCUCACGCUUGAAUACAUUAGCAUGGAAUAAUGAAAUAGGACGUUCGAUCCUAUUUUGUUGGUUUUAGGAUCAACGUAAUGAUUAAUAGGGAUAGUUGGGGGCAUUAGUAUUCAAUUGUCAGAGGUGAAAUUCUUGGAUUUAUUGAAGACUAACUACUGCGAAAGCAUUUGCCAAGGAUGUUUUCAUUAAUCAAGAACGAAAGUUAGGGGAUCGAAGACGAUCAGAUACCGUCGUAGUCUUAACCAUAAACUAUGCCGACUAGGGAUCGGAUGAUGUUAAUUUUUUCAAUGACUCAUUCGGCGCCUUAC
rnacentral:rRNA from 1 species